GAUGAACGCUGGCGGCGUGCCUAAUACAUGCAAGUCGAGCGAACAGGCGAGGAGCUUGCUCCUCUGACGUUAGCGGCGGACGGGUGAGUAACACGUGGAUAACCUACCUAUAAGACUGGGAUAACUUCGGGAAACCGGAGCUAAUACCGGAUAAUAUAUUGAACCGCAUGGUCCAAUAGUGAAAGACGGUUUUGCUGUCACUUAUAGAUGGAUCCGCGCCGCAUUAGCUAGUUGGUAAGGUAACGGCUUACCAAGGCAACGAUGCGUAGCCGACCUGAGAGGGUGAUCGGCCACACUGGAACUGAGACACGGUCCAGACUCCUACGGGAGGCAGCAGUAGGGAAUCUUCCGCAAUGGGCGAAAGCCUGACGGAGCAACGCCGCGUGAGUGAUGAAGGUCUUCGGAUCGUAAAACUCUGUUAUUAGGGAAGAACAAAUGUGUAAGUAACUAUGCACGUCUUGACGGUACCUAAUCAGAAAGCCACGGCUAACUACGUG
rnacentral:rRNA from 1 species